CAAAACUUAAGAAACUAAACAAACGGGGGACGACCACAGUACGAGGAAGCAAAAGCGGGAAACUCACGAACCCUCCCUCCCUCCCGCCACCGAACCCAUCGCCGACCGGAGCACCCAUCGUUGACCAGAGCAUCUUCAUCGGUAAUCCUUCCAUCUCCGAUCAUCCUGGCUCCCACAGUACGAGAAAGCAAAAGCAGGAAACAUAAGUAGCAAACCCUCCCUCCCUCCCACCACCGCACCCAUCGCUAACCGGAGCACCCAUCGCUGACUAGAGCAUCUUCACCGGUAAGGAGUUGUUAAGUCCUUUUAGUAGUUUAAACUCAAACGCACAGUAUGAGUGUGAACAUAUUUGCGAAUGCUUUUUCUUUUUGCAGUCUCAUGAUUGGUCAUGGUUUUAGGAGAAAUUCGGGACUUGAUUCUUGUUCAUUAAUCAAGAAACAUGAAUAAAGCUUUUGUGAUUUUGGUUUGUAUUCUAUUGGUUGGAUGCAUUCGUGCGCAUAUGUUUGCAUACAUCAUGUUCAAUCCAUUGUUUCUUCAGUUACUCCAUUAAAUGAUUUACCUGAAUUGAAUAAAAUAGUUUCUUUAUUCCAUUAAAUUAUAUAUCAGUUGAAUGGAAUAUUUUCUUGAAUGAUAUCUACGUGUGUUGGGGUUGUGGGUAUAAUUUUCGUGUUUUUCCAAAAGAAAAAUCUAAUCAAUCAUUUCAUUUAUGUAUUCUUUACGUUUAUUAUAGUCAAUGAUUUUAUAUUCUAACUGUAAUUCAAUUGAAUCUGAUAUUCAUUGAAUUGAAGCGAAAAUUUGAUUAUGUUUUAUUGGGUAGGAAAUAGGAUUCUAUAUAAUAAAAAAUGCAGAGAGAAAUCUCCAGCGACUAUAAUUUUGUCGGGUCACUCUAUUCCUCAAAUUUCCUGUCAAGUGGUUCACCUUUUCUCAAUUAUGUAACUGUCGAUUCCAAUUCCCCUUCAAACAUUAUCAAUUCUUAGCCGAAUGAUGAUGACAUGUUACUGAGUUCACUUUACGAAAAGGAGUUGUUAAGUCCUUUUAGUAGUUUAAAUUUCGCCAUAGUGAAGAAAGAAUACUUCCAUGAAAGAAGUUAUCAGAAAGAUCAAGAGUCUGGAGCUUUGAGAGUUUUCCAAGUUUUGCUGGGAUUGGUCCUGUUAUGUUGGUGAGAAAUAGUUGUUUGUCCAUUUUUGCAGCUGCCUUGCGUCGAGAAUCAUGGGGUUUGUUCCGAAGCUAGAUUUGGGAGAUACUCUAUUAUUUGUUCAUUCCCCUCCCAACAAAUAACAAUAUUAAUUUUUUUGAAGGGUUUUGUUUCAUUUUAUUUGGAUAAUAACAAACAUAGUACUCUGUAUUUUUUUUUUUAAGGGUUUUGUGAAGAUCAAUGCAUGUUUUUCCAAUGGUUUGCCUUUAUUUGCGUCAUUGUGUUUUUCUUGAUUUUGCUGAAUGGUUUAGAAUCAAUUUGCUUGAGCCAUAUAUUAAGUAAAGAAAUUGUAGACGACAGAUAGAGAGCCGAAUUGGGAUUUGUCCUUCAAAUUUUUAUGGUUCAUGUCAAAGACUGCUAUAAUGAUCCUUUUUAUUUUUGCGGCAAAAUAAAGUAUGGAAGACGUAGAAGAUGAGCCUGUUGAUGUUUUGAUGGAAUCCGAUACUGAGAAUAUUCGAAGUUUGUGAAUGUAGUCAAAGACGAAACAUCGGGAGGGAUGGGUUACAAGUGCCUGAGGUGGGUAUGCUAUUUAAGCAUGAAGAAGAUAUGUAUAACUUCUACAAAAAAUAUGCUUAUGCCGUUGGUUUUCCCGUUAAAAAAAGGAAUUCGAAAAAGGGGGAGGAUGGAGCAUUGAGAUACCUAACGUUAACAUGUAGUCGUGAAGGACGAUUAAAUGGUAAUACUAGCAGUUCACUGAAGCCGCAACCAACAGUUAAGAUGGGUUGUAAAACAAGGAUAUCCGCAUCUUAAGAUAUCCUGGGAAAUUGGAGAAUUAAUGCGGUCCCCUAGAGCACAAUCAUAAGACAAGUCCAUCUAAGUCCAGGUUAUAUCGAUGCAACCGAACUUUUACUGCACAUGUGAAAAGAAAGUUUGAAAUGAAUGAUUUAGCAGGGAUUCCAUUGCAUAAGAGUUACAAUUCCGCAGUUGUAGAAGCUGGUGGAUAUGAGAACAUGACUUGCAUUGAAAAAAAUUGUCGGAACUAUGUCGAACGAGUUAGGUGAUUACGACUUGGAGAGGACGAUGCUGCAGUAAUACAAUCAUACUUUUCAAGAAUGCAAGCUCAAUGUUCGAGAUUUUAUUUCAGUAUGGAUUUGGACGAUGAUUCGCGACUAAGAAAUGUAUUCUGGGCAAAUAAUCGGUGUAGGCCAGCGUACAAGGAGUUUUGUGAUGUGGUUACUUUUGAUACCACCUAUCUUACUAAUAAGUAUGACAUGCCAUUCGCCCCCUUUGUUGGCAUCAAUCAUCACGAAUAGUCAACAUUACUUGGUAGUGGGUUGUUGUCGAAUGAGGACACCGAGACUUUCGUAUGGUUGUUUAGAACAUGGCUUCAGUGUAUGUAUGGUGAAACUACGCAGGCCAUAAUUACCGAUUAGGAUAGAGCCAUGCAAAAUGCAAUUGAGAUUGUCUUCCCGAUGACGAAGCAUAGAUGGUGUUUGUAGCGUAUUUUGAAGAAGCCCCCGGAAAAGUUUGGAUACCAUGUGGAUAAGGGUUUGAUAUUUGGGGCUAUACAUAGAUUAGUGUAUGAUUCACAGUCGGAACAAGAAUUUGAUGAAGGUUGGAUGGCGAUGAUUGACACCUAUAGUUUGCAGCAAAAUAAUUGGUUGUCAGGAUUAUAUGAGAAUAGAGGGCGUUGGGUGCCUUGUUUUUUGAAAAUAACUUUUUAGGCAGGAAUGUUUACAACAUAGAGAAUCGAGAGUAUGAACGCGUUCUUCAGUGGAUAUGUGCAUUCGAAGACAUCGUUGAAGCAAUUCGUCGAACAGUACGAACGUGCUCUCAGGAAUAAGGUCGAGAAGGAAUUCCAAGCUGAUUUCAAGUCGUUCUCUCAAAUGAUACCGUGUGCAACACAGUUUGAAAUGGAAGAACAGUUUCGGUCAGUUUACACCAUAUCGAAAUGUCGGGAAGUUUAAAAAGAGUUCACAGGUAAGGUCUACUGUAAUGUCAUAUCUACGUCAGAAGGAUCUUCUGAGACGACGUAUAAUGUACGGGAGACUAUUAUGUAUGAUGGUCGUCGCAAGAGAAAAACUUGAGUCGUCUCAUUUGUGAGAAAUAAUUGCGAAGUUGUUUGUAGCUGCCACUUAUUUGAGUUUAGGGGAAUACUUUGUAAGCAUGCAAUAGCGGUUCAAGACUAGAACGAUGUCACGUGUAUUCCGGAUCAGUAUUUUUUGCGGAGAUGGAUGAGGGACGUUCGUAGAGCAUACACGAGAGUUCCAAUAAACUAUGCAGGGUUAGAGACUACUCCUGCACAAUUAAGAUACGAAGAGAUGUCUAAGGGAUUUGCACAGGUGGCAGACCUUGCUGCAGAUGAUGAAAUGCUGUCACGUGCUAUAAUGGAGUGGAUAAAAUUGCAACGUGAAGAUAUGAUGACCACAAGAUCUGGUGGUAGUAGUAAUCUCAUACCGUCGCGUACCACGCAGGUGUCCAAUGAUUGUACAGACGUGUCAAAGUUAGCGAGCGGAAGCAUAUGUGAUCCACAAGUAGCUCGACUAAAGGGUGCGCCAAGGAAGCUUAGAAAAAGAAGCCCAUUGGAGAUAACAUCAAAGAAAGCAAAGGUAUGCUCGAAAACUGAGAUUUAUAUUUGCAAUUGUUUAAAUUUAUAUCUUGUAAAUGCAAUCUAGCGGGACAUCAUCCACUACUAUGCCACCAAGAAGUAGCAAUACGAAUAUGGUAGAUGACGCAAUGAACUUUCAGUUGCCUCAACAAUAUUCCAUGCCAACCCCGACGUCGUACUUGCCCAGUGACACGUUGACACCAUUAUCUUUGUCACAACUGUCCAUGUCUACACCGUUCUCCCUUUCCCAAUGUGUACCCUUUGGAAAUUUGGUCUCUCCAUUCGCUGCUAGUAUCAUGCAAAAUUCACAAUGUAUAAACCAAUGUUGUAGACGGUUUUAAAAUUCAUUUUGUUGUGAACACAUGAUUAACUAUUUGUUAUGGUAUUCUAUUGUAGGUCAACCAUCGGCGAACUACUAUCAAAAUUUAUUGGAUCACAGUGGCAGCCUAUAGCAAGGGGGCUAUGUUUGCGCGAUUGGAAUUUUUUUGAAAUCGAGACUUCCAAUUCACAGUACUCGAAUGAAGAUGUAUUUUGGCAUUUCCUAGUAUUAAGGCAAUUACUACUUUGCCUAUUUUGGCAACUUCACAGGUUUUAAGUUGGCGGAAUUUUUUUGAAAUGUUGGGUAAUUACUACUCAUAGUGUAUUAGUAUCAAAUAAUUGUUGUGAUAAUUCAAUGGAAAUUUCUUUUGUUUUGUUCAUACCUUUUUGAGCAACUUAUCUAAUAGCUGAAUUGUUAAGUCUUUCUGCUUUCUGUGAUAAUUGAGAAUAUUCUUCUGCAAGUUUAAUGAUUUGGUAGCCAUUAGAAAAAAAGUUGUUAUUUGUAAACUCAUUUUGCCAUACUUUCAUGGAGCCGAUGUAGCUGCCAUAACAAUGUUUGACUGUUGUUUAGUUUCAC
rnacentral:lncRNA from 1 species